AGAGAGAGACAUGCGCGCAUAUCAAUAAGCGGAGGAAAAGAAACUAACAAGGAUUCCCCUAGUAACGGCGAGUGAAGCGGGAAGAGCUCAAAUUUGAAAUCUUAAAGGGUUUCCCUUUACGAAUUGUAGUUUAAAGAAGUGUUUUCUGUUGAGGUUUUGGUAAAAGUUCUUUGGAAUAGGACAUCAUAGAGGGUGAGAAUCCCGUAUUUAGACCUUUACUUUCAACUUUGUGAUACACUUUCAAAGAGUCGGAUUGUUUGGGAAUGCAGUCCAAAAUGGGUGGUAAAUUUCAUCUAAAGCUAAAUAUUGGCGAGAGACCGAUAGCGAACAAGUACCGUGAGGGAAAGAUGAAAAGAACUUUGAAAAGAGAGUUAAACAGUACGUGAAAUUGUCAAAAGGGAAGCGUUUGACACCAGUGUUGUUUUUCUGAAAAUCAAUUAAAGAACUGUUUAUGCUAAGCUGUUUAGACUUUAUCAGCUAUCUGUUUAGUUUUGAGCUUUUCUUUAAUGCACUUUUCAGUUAACAAGUCAACAUCAAUUUCUUUUGCUGUAAAAAAGCUUGAGGAAGGUGGCUUGAGAUUCGUCUUAAGUGUUUAUAGCCUCUUGCCUAUGCAGUCGGAGAGAUUGAGGUCUGCAGCGUAGAUCCUUCGGGGCUAAAUGCAUUUGUGCUAAGUUAUAGCAUUUUAUAGACAACUUGUUGACUAUGAUUUGUCUUGUAGCUUACUCGCUUAUGUUAUUUUACCUACGCUUAGGAUGUUGACGCAUGAGAUAUACGC
rnacentral:rRNA from 1 species